CUAGCUCAUUUGACCACUGAGAAUUAGGGUGAAUCAACUAUCAAGUGACUAGAAGCUUUUUUUUUUAGUUCCUCUUGGUGCCCUGUGGAUGCCAAGUCUAUGGCUUCCAGCUCCCGCUUCAUGCCUCAAACCCAGGAAGACAAGAUCCGGUUCCAGCUGGAGGCAUUUAUGGUCCAGGGAGGAUACAGUCCUUCUAUCUACAUAACCUGUAUUGUGAAAGCCACUCUUGCUUCUGCACCCAGUGAUGCUCUCCGCAAAUCCUGUUCCUUUUCCAAUGGGUGGCUUGCUGCUGAUGGGAACCACCAGGCUUGUGG